GAAAUCAGUAUAUUGAAGAGACAUCUGCACUCCCUUGUUCAUUGCAGUAUUAUUCUAAACAGCCGUGAUAUGGAAUCAACCUAAGUGUCCAUCAGUGAAUGAAUAGACAAAGAAAAUGUGGUAUAUAUACACAAUGGAAUACUAUUCAGCCUUUAAUAAGAAGAAAAUUCUGUCAUUUGCACAGCAUGGAUGAAUCUAGAGGACAUUAUGGAAAUACGACCUUCAACAAACAGCCAGAAUGCCUUUGACAGAGUGAUACACAGAGUCUUACUUCACCUACCAGCAGAAAAGAUCAACGCUCUAGUGCGUGCAGACAGAACACAAUUGGCUUAUCCGACUUAAACUGUAUAUCCAUGCCCAUCAGGAAAUUAUAAUCAACAAAUACAGCCAUGGGAAAAGAGUACCCGCAAUGCAUGG
rnacentral:lncRNA from 10 species